GGCAACGUGACGGAGUGGUUAACGUGAUCGCCUCGAAAGCGAUUUCCUUCGGGAGCGCAGGUUCGAAUCCUGCCGUUGUCG
rnacentral:tRNA from 4 species